ACCGGCAGCUAGCUCUCUGCAACUCUCACAUGUUCGCCCACUGAAGCUAAGCAGGGCUGCGCCCGGUCAGUACUUGGAUGGGAGACCACAUGGGAAAACUAGGUUGCUGCCGGAA
rnacentral:rRNA from 1 species